GCCAAAAUGUGCUUCAGACGACACACUUCAGACGACAUAAGUUUUGUUUUAUGUCGUCUGAGUUUUUCAGACGACAUAAUUUUUUUUUGUGUUGUCUGAAUAUAGACUAAAACCAUACUCGUUCAAUUUGAAAAAAUGGUGAGCAUUCAGACAACACAUUUGUGUAGUUGUAAAAGAUGAUGAUUUCCUAUCUCAAAUGCGGAGGGAUAUCCAAAAUUUGAUCAAGUACUUUUCCCUCUCAAAUAGCCGAACUCUAGUUGACUAGAAAAUGUUGUGACAUUUAGACAACAUUUAAAUGUCGUCUGAGUGUGGAGCUUGUUUUAAAAUUUUUGAAGUUAUUUUGACUUGUGCUUUUUUACAUAGAUCCCUCGUAAUUAAAUCAUUUUCUGUCCUUCUCACUCCAACACCAGCCCGCGCGCUCUCUCUUUCUCACUCAGCUCGACCUAGAACCCGCGAAACUGGAAAACUCAAACACCAGCCUCUCUCCUUCUCACUCAGCUCUCUCAGAUCUCUCAGAUCUCGAUUCUCACUCUCUCCUCUCUCCUUCAUCUUCUCACUCUCUCGAUUCUUCUUGGUCUCUCCUUCUUCUUCUUAGCCUCUACUUCAUCUUUCGCGACCGGAUUAGUGGACCUCCCCAGCAACAACAGAGCUGUUUUUAAUUCGGAUAUUGGUAAGCAAUUUAGGGUUUCAAUCGUUUUUUAGUUUAGGGUUUCGAUUGGGUUUAAUCCUAGAUCGAUUUUAGGGUUUUAUCUGCAAAUUUUAGGUUUGCUUAUUAUCCAAAAUUUCGAUUUUAGUUGAUUUCGAUUAGGUUUUUCUUCUAUUUGGGGAUGGGGUGAUUGAAAUGGAUAUAGCUAUAUUGGGGUUUUGUCUUGGGGGUUUCUCUUCGAUUUAGUGCUGUGGUUUUCCUUCGGUUGAAAUGGAUUUAUGUGUUGGUGUUUUAUUUUCCAUGUUGUUUGACAAGAACUCUUCCUUCUUUCAAUUAAAACUCAUUUGGGUUUUGGGGUUUUGAGUUUGGAUAAUAGUUCUUCUGUUGUAUCAUGUUUCUUCUAUUUUGUUGGCCUUGAUAGGGAAACUUGGUGCUACAAAAGGAUUUGCUGGGAAGGAUGUAGUGAUUGUGGCGGCCUACCGAACUGCCAUUUACAAAGCAAAGCGAGGCGGUUUUAAGGAUACUUUAGCUGAUGAUUUACUGGCACCUGUUUUGAAGAUAGGGAGGAUGAAGUUAGAGAAUUGGGGGAAAGAAGAGGAACUUCAAGUUUGGAUGCCCAAGGCUGAGAAGGUUGUAGGGAUUCAAGGGGGAUGCUUGGCCUACAUUACCUGUUGAAGAUCUUGCUGACUUUUCCUUCCAGACAACGCCUAUGUAUAUAGAUGUGGAUGAUGGGAGAACUAAGGCCACGAAUAUAGGACUGCAACAGGACUAUUGUCUUGUGCCAAGUGCCAAGAGAUUUUAUUCUCCUAUAUUCUUUCCUGACGAGGAAUCUAUCAAAGAAAGUGAUGGUCUUCUUCUCUUCUUGCAACUCAGUUUCUUGGAAACAAUAAGUUGAAUGGCACUCUCUCUGAAUCGAAAAGCUCAUCUCUUCUCAAUGUAUGAGUUAAAUGCCUCACUAAGCUGCACAUGAGUUAAAUGCAGACGAGUAGACCACCUACCAGAUUUGCAGCAAAGGUUUUUGUUCUUUUUUCUGCAAUAUCUUGUUCCUCAUUGAGAAUGAAGACUAGUUGCUCUUGUAAUAUGCAGCAUAAGUCUAUAUGGGGGUCAAGAAAGAUUUGUGUCUCUGCAAUGGGUCAGCAGGUUUGUGUCUCUGCAAGCUCACUGGCCAUUCCGUUUUCUAUGACCACUUCUAUGAUUUGGGUGAUUCCGUUCAUGAUCAGAUUGUGAAACUAGUACAGCAGUACAGCAGUAUAGCUAGCUAGUUCCUUUAUUAACUUGUGUCUAGUAGAAAUUUUUCAUUCAUUAAGCAUUUAGACUUGUCUUCAGAUCCAGAUUAGUAUAUAUGAGUUAUUUUGAACUGAAGUUCAUGAUUAAGUUUGUGUACAUGAGAUACUAGUGGAUUAAUGGAAAUUGCAAUGAAUGAUUUUGAAUGUGGAUUUUAUGGUUUCAUACUUUCA